rnacentral:rRNA from 1 species
GACGAACCGUGCGAACGUUGUUCGGAAUCACUGGGUUUAAAGGGCGCGUAGGCGGGCUGUCAAGUCGGUGGUGAAAUCGUUCCGCUCAACGGGACAAUGGCCUUCGAUACUGGCGGUCUGGAGGAAGGUAGGGGCAUGCGGAACUUCCGGUGGAGCGGUGAAAUGCGUAGAUAUCGGAAGGAACACCGAUGGCGAAAGCAGCGUGCUGGACCUUUUCUGACGCUGAGGCGCGAAAGCCAGGGGAGCAAACGGG